rnacentral:rRNA from 1 species
GACGAACGCUGGCGGCGUGCUUAACACAUGCAAGUCGAACGGAAAGGCCCUGCUUUUGUGGGGUGCUCGAGUGGCGAACGGGUGAGUAACACGUGAGUAACCUGCCCUUCACUUUGGGAUAACUUCAGGAAACUGGGGCUAAUACCGGAUAGGAUCUCCUGCUGCAUGGUGGGGGUUGGAAAGUUUCGGCGGUUGGGGAUGGACUCGCGGCUUAUCAGCUUGUUGGUGGGGUAGUGGCUUACCAAGGCUUUGACGGGUAGCCGGCCUGAGAGGGUGACCGGCCACAUUGGGACUGCGAUACGGCCCAGACUCCUACGGGAGGCAGCAGUGGCGAAUAUUGCACAGUGGGCGGAAGCCUGUUGCAGCAACGCCGCGUGUGGGAUGACGGCCUGCUGGUUGUAAACCGCUUUCGCCUGUGACGAAGCGUGAGUGACGGUAAUGAGUAAAGAAGCACCGGCUAACUACGUG